UUGGGAGAAACUUAGAAAUUCUUCGUGUACCUUUUGACACCCAGCAAUGAACUGCCACGGAUGGCAGUUCAAAUCCCAGACAAGCCACGGACGGCUUGUUUGGGAUGGUUGCGUCACGCUAUCAUCAGCCUUACAAGGUACACAUAGAAUUUCUUAUUUUCGGAC
rnacentral:ncRNA from 1 species